GCAACAGGAAAGAGAGAAACUUAAGAAGAUUUGUUACCAUCAGUCCAUUUCCAAGUGCAGCAGGUGCGGCUCAGGAGGAUUUCGGCAAAGAGAAAAGUUCCUACAGUUUUGUAACUCAGAGUUGCCAUAACGAUGGAUGCUGGUAUUUGCCUCAGUUAACAAAGGAAGCAGGUAGAGACACUGAGACUGACUUCCGGGAGGGAGGAGGAUUUCUGCCAGAAGCUGUAGAUGUGAAGUCUUACUUGCAUCUCCAGCUUUCCCUGGAAAUGUUGGGGAACUAGUGGCCCAAGAUGACUAUGUGACUUAUUCAAGAUCACAGAGUUUGAUAGGGUUGCAGUCAGAUUCAGCCCAGGCCACACGGUAUCAAAUCCUAUGGUAUAAAAUGACAGAGAUACAACAUGGAAUCCUAAACAACAAGAGGUCUACAAAGAACCAAAUGUCACAGAAAGAGAAGAUCCCAACUUGUAUAAUCAGUCUUGG